rnacentral:tRNA from 1 species
GUAGGUAUAGCUCAGUGGUUAAAGCACAUGCUUAGCACGCACAAGGUCCUAGAUUCAAUCCCACUACCUACA